ensembl:snRNA U2 U2 spliceosomal RNA
CUUGCUUCUCGGCCUUUUGGCUAAGAUCAAGUGUAGUAUCUGUUCUUAUCAGUUUAAUAUCUGAUACGUCCUCUAUCCGAGGACAAUAUAUUAAAUGGAUUUUUGGAGCUGGGAGUUGGAAAAGGAGCUUGCUCUGUCCACUCCACGCAUCGACCUGGUAUUGUAGUACUUCCAGGAAUGGUGCACCCGCC